AAAUUGAAGAGUUUGAUCAUGGCUCAGAUUGAACGCUGGCGGCAGGCCUAACACAUGCAAGUCGAACGGUAACAGGAAGCAGCUUGCUGCUUCGCUGACGAGUGGCGGACGGGUGAGUAAUGUCUGGGAAACUGCCUGAUGGAGGGGGAUAACUACUGGAAACGGUGGCUAAUACCGCAUAACGUCGCAAGACCAAAGAGGGGGACCUUCGGGCCUCUUGCCAUCAGAUGUGCCCAGAUGGGAUUAGCUAGUUGGUGAGGUAACGGCUCACCAAGGCGACGAUCCCUAGCUGGUCUGAGAGGAUGACCAGCCACACUGGAACUGAGACACGGUCCAGACUCCUACGGGAGGCAGCAGUGGGGAAUAUUGCACAAUGGGCGCAAGCCUGAUGCAGCCAUGCCGCGUGUAUGAAGAAGGCCUUCGGGUUGUAAAGUACUUUCAGCGGGGAGGAAGGUGUUGUGGUUAAUAACCGCAGCAAUUGACGUUACCCGCAGAAGAAGCACCGGCUAACUCCGUGCCAGCAGCCGCGGUAAUACGGAGGGUGCAAGCGUUAAUCGGAAUUACUGGGCGUAAAGCGCACGCAGGCGGUCUGUCAAGUCGGAUGUGAAAUCCCCGGGCUCAACCUGGGAACUGCAUUCGAAACUGGCAGGCUUGAGUCUUGUAGAGGGGGGUAGAAUUCCAGGUGUAGCGGUGAAAUGCGUAGAGAUCUGGAGGAAUACCGGUGGCGAAGGCGGCCCCCUGGACAAAGACUGACGCUCAGGUGCGAAAGCGUGGGGAGCAAACAGGAUUAGAUACCCUGGUAGUCCACGCCGUAAACGAUGUCUACUUGGAGGUUGUGCCCUUGAGGCGUGGCUUCCGGAGCUAACGCGUUAAGUAGACCGCCUGGGGAGUACGGCCGCAAGGUUAAAACUCAAAUGAAUUGACGGGGGCCCGCACAAGCGGUGGAGCAUGUGGUUUAAUUCGAUGCAACGCGAAGAACCUUACCUGGUCUUGACAUCCACGGAAAUUUUCAGAGAUGAGAAUGUGCCUUCGGGAACCGUGAGACAGGUGCUGCAUGGCUGUCGUCAGCUCGUGUUGUGAAAUGUUGGGUUAAGUCCCGCAACGAGCGCAACCCUUAUCCUUUGUUGCCAGCGAUUAGGUCGGGAACUCAAAGGAGACUGCCAGUGAUAAACUGGAGGAAGGUGGGGAUGACGUCAAGU
rnacentral:rRNA from 1 species